ACUCCUGGCUCUCGGCGGCGUGUGGACUCCAAUCCCCGGGCACCUGCGCGGCCAGGCCAGCGAUUCUAGGGGUCCCGGGGCGCCCCGAAGCCGCCACCUAAACAAGACGCAGACUCUGACACCGACUGGCUGUGUGAUCCUGGACAGACUGCAUCACCUCAUGGACAUUUUUUCAUCUGUGAGGGGAAGAUUUCCUGGCAGUGGUCUGAGAAAUGGUGGCAAGGACUGAAGGAGUUACAUGCAUGGAGAGUACUGUACCACCAGUUGGGCAGAGAUGGAAUUGCACUUCUUUUUGCUCUGUCUUUUCAUCAUCUUAGAAGUGGGUGGAGCCUCCUCUUCAUAAUUCCUACAGGGUUUAAUACUGAGGAGAAACUUUGUAAAGUAAAGGAUUUUUAGGGUUGGGGCGGUGGCACAGUAGGUAAAGCGCUCGCUGUGUCAGCCUGAGGACCCGGGCUGGUACUUACAACAAAGCAUGGUAUGAUCAUCAAUAAUGCCAGCACAGUUGCAUAACGACGGGCACAUCCCCGGGGAAUCAGCUGCCAGCCAAUCUCAUGCUAGGUUCAGUGAGCAAUUUCUCCCCAAAAAUAAGCUGGAGAAGGACAGAGGAUGACGCUGAACUUUGACCUCUGGCCUCCACACACAUGCAUGAGUGAGUGCACCCACAUCAACACACACACACACAUGUGAAAAACAAAUCUUUUAAAAUAAUAAUAUGGGUCCCUAAGUACUGGAAUUGAGAACAGUGCCUACAUCCCAACGUUUGUAAGAUGUCAGUGGACUGCAGAAUAAGUGUGGGGAUAGUCCUCAUGGUAAUUAUUUGAAGUUUCUUUCGGGCGGUAGUAAAUGUCAAAUUCUUUCCA
rnacentral:lncRNA from 1 species